rnacentral:rRNA from 1 species
UUGAACGCUGGCGGCAGGCCUAACACAUGCAAGUCGAGCGGAUGAAGGGAGCUUGCUCCUGGAUUCAGCGGCGGACGGGUGAGUAAUGCCUAGGAAUCUGCCUGGUAGUGGGGGAUAACGUCCGGAAACGGGCGCUAAUACCGCAUACGUCCUGAGGGAGAAAGUGGGGGAUCUUCGGACCUCACGCUAUCAGAUGAGCCUAGGUCGGAUUAGCUAGUUGGUGGGGUAAAGGCCUACCAAGGCGACGAUCCGUAACUGGUCUGAGAGGAUGAUCAGUCACACUGGAACUGAGACACGGACCAGACUCCUACGGGAGGCAGCAGUGGGGAAUAUUGGACAAUGGGCGAAAGCCUGAUCCAGCCAUGCCGCGUGUGUGAAGAAGGUCUUCGGAUUGUAAAGCACUUUAAGUUGGGAGGAAGGGCAGUAAGUUAAUACCUUGCUGUUUUGACGUUACCAACAGAAUAAGCACCGGCUAACUUCGU